rnacentral:rRNA from 1 species
GGCUAACCUACCCUUAGGACGGGGACAACCCCGGGAAACUGGGGCUAAUACCCGAUAGGUGAGGAGGCUUGGAAUGGUUCCUAGUCGAAAAGGCGUUGAAACCAUGCUUUUCGACGUCGCCUAAGGAUGGGGCCGCGCCCGAUCAGGUUGUUGGUGGGGUAACGGCUCACCAAGCCUAUAACCGGUACGGGCCGUGAGAGCGGGAGUCCGGAGAUGGGCACUGAGACAAGGGCCCAGGCCCUACGGGGCGCAGCAGUCGCGAAAACUCCGCAAUGCGCGAAAGCGUGACGGGGCUACCCCGAGUGCCGUCCGCUGAGGAUGGCUUUUCCCCGGUGUAAUGAGCCGGGGGAAUAAGGAGAGGGCAAGUCUGGUGUCAGCCGCCGCGGUAAUACCAGCUCUCCGAGUGGUAGGGAUGAUUAUUGGGCUUAAAGCGUCCGUAGCCGGCUUAGCAAGUCUCCUGUUAAAUUCAGCGACCUAAUCGUUGAGCCGCGGGAGACACUACUAGGCUAGGAGGCGGGAGAGGCCGACGGUAUUCUCGGGGUAGGGGUGAAAUCCUAUAAUCCCGGGAGGACCACCAGUGGCGAAGGCUGUCGGCUAGAACGCGCUCGACGGUGAGGGACGAAAGCUGGGGGAGCGAACCGGAUUAGAUACCCGGGUAGUCCCAGCUGUAAACGAUGCGGGCUAGGUGUUGGGGUGGCUACGAGCCACUUCAGUGCCGCAGGGAAGCCAUUAAGCCCGCCGCCU